AGCUGCCAAGAAAGAAGGAGAGGUAUGAACUUUUCUUGAGUUUUCAGGGGGAAAAAAAGGGACUAUUGGUGUUGUGCAUUCAGAGUUUCAUGGCCAUUUUAUUCUACUAUCUUGGGAUAUUUUUUUUGGUGGCAUUGCUUUAUUCUUUAAAUGACCUUUUAAUGAUUCAGAUUUGUUUGAUUUUUCAAAGCAUUGAUGUGGGCAUUAUGGCUGUGGCUAAUCCUGCAUAUUCAUUAUUUGUUUACUUAAACUUUUGUAAAGUUUCACCUUAAUUUGCUUUCGCUAUUGGUGGUUUGUUAUGUGCGAGCAUUAAUCUGGUUGUGCUAGCAUGUUUAACUUUUCUAAUUGCUUGUUUUCUGUGGUGAAAAUAUCAUUUGCCAGGUAAAAAUGUAAAAUCAAUGAUUGGGGUUUUGACAUGUUCAUUUUAGGUUGUGUUGUUUUCAGUGAUUAUGAUUUCUUGAUGAAAAGUACAUGGGAAUGAACAACUGUUGCACCUCUUAUUUAUUUAUUUUAAAACUGUUUAUACGAUUGUGAAUUUUCAAGCAGUUCUUUCUAGUAUUUUCCUGUUUCUAAAUGAGUUGAAAUGAUUCAUUCACGGAAUAUCUUUGUAUUAUUUCACUUUGUUGGUUUACAGGAAGGUGAAGCCACUACUGAGGAGGUGAAGAAGAGCAAUCACGUCUUGAGAAAGCUGGAGAAGAGACAGCAGGCUCGCAAGCUUGACCCUCAUAUUGAAGAUCAAUUUGGUGGUGGUCGCCUAUUAGCUUGUAUCUCAUCGCGCCCUGGUCAAUGUGGUCGUGCUGAUGGGUACAUCUUGGAGGGUAAAGAGCUGGAAUUUUACAUGAAGAAAAUCCAGAGGAAGAAGGGCAAAGGAGCUGCCUAAAAUUGUGUUAUCUGAGCCUCAUAUUCGGAUCAGAGACUUCUUUCUCCACCUUUUUAAGUUAUUGAACGGCAUUCUUCACCUUAUUAUUUUCCUUCUAUUUGGACAUUGAUUUUUUUCAUGAGAUGAGCAACUAAGCUUGUAGCACCAACUAGUUUUACUGUUUAAUUCAUAGUUAGAAACCAAUUGUUGCUUUUGGUUUACGGGAUUUUAUUUGGAAUUUGAUGGUAAUGGAAAUUAUCAAGUUAUGUGAGAGUGGUGUUAAUAUAUCCUAGCAGAUCAAUUUGUUAACUUUUUAAUGGUUGUCCUAGUGUGGGAGUUUCCUUCGCCUAGAGGUAGGGCUAUGUAGUCCCACUUCACCAAACCCGUCGUAAUGUUAUGCAUGGAUUACAGAAACGUAUUUUAUGGAA
rnacentral:misc_RNA from 1 species